rnacentral:tRNA from 1 species
GAUUGUGGCUCAGUGGAACAGUGCUUGCCUAGCAUGUAGGAGGCCCUGGGUUCGAGUCUCAGCACCA